AGCAGCAUGGCGCAGCUGGAAGCGCGCGGGGCCCAUAUUCCAUGCCACCCCGAGGUCACUUGAUCGAAACAAGUUGCUGCUA
rnacentral:tRNA from 1 species